rnacentral:piRNA from 1 species
UCCCAUAGACAGUUGAUGCUGGCAAGACC